AUGGGGGGGGAAUUUUUGGCGCCAAUGGGCGGCAAGCCUGAUGCCAGCCAUGCCCGCGUGUGUGAUGAAGGCCUUCGGGUUGUAAAGUACUUUUGGCGGGAGGAAGGCGUUGAUGCUAAUAUCAUCGACGGUUGACGUUACCGACAGAAGAAGCACCGGCUAACUCCGUGCCAGCAGCCGCGGUAAUACGGAGGGUGCAAGCGUUAAUCGGAAUUACUGGGCGUAAAGCGCGCGCAGGCGGUUCAUUAAGUUAGAUGUGAAAUCCCCGGGCUUAACCUGGGAAGGGCAUUUUAAACUGGGGAGCUAGAGUCUUGCAGAGGGGGGUAGAAUUCCAUGUGUAGCGGUGAAAUGCGUAGAGAUGUGGAGGAAUACCGGUGGCGAAGGCGGCCCCCUGGGCUAAUACUGACGCUCAGGCGCGAAAGCGUGGGGAGCAAACAGGAUUAGAUACCCCGGUAGU
rnacentral:rRNA from 1 species